UGGACUUGGACUUGAGGCUGUUCAGCAGUGU
rnacentral:piRNA from 1 species